AUUCCAGCUCUGGUAACUGAAGUCCUCUAUUUAUCCACAGAUUAGCUACAGCAUGGACAGAAUUAGUGCAAGCUUCUCAACAAUGUCCUGUUAAUGUGGCUCAAACCCAGAGCCAUAGAAAGAUGAGUGUCAUUUCAUUUGCUUCCAACCCCAUUCAGGAUCUAAUCAAAU
rnacentral:sRNA from 1 species